CGUUGGGUGGCUCAGUGGAUAGAGCCUAGUGCUUGAGCCGUAAAGUCCCGGGUUCGAAUCUCGCCAGAGGC
rnacentral:tRNA from 1 species